rnacentral:rRNA from 1 species
UACGGGGGGAGCAAGCGUUGUUCGGAUUUACUGGGCGUAAAGGGCGCGUAGGCGGCCACUUCAGUUCAGUUUUGAAAUCUCCGGGCUUAACCCGGAAAGGUCAACUGAUACUGCAGGGCUAGAGUGCAGAAGGGGCAACUGGAAUUCUCGGUGUAGCGGUGAAAUGCGUAGAUAUCAGGAGGAACACCGGUGGCGAAGGCGGUUCUCUGGGCAUGUCCUGACGCUGAGGAGCGAAAGUGUGGGGAGCGAACAGG